AUUUUCGCCAUGGGGGGCAGCCCUGCUCCAGUCAUCCCGCGUGAGCGAUGAAGGCCAUCGGUUUUUAAAGCACUUUUUGCAGGGUAGACAUGGCUGUGGCUAAUACCUGCAGCUGCGGACGGUCCCUGCAGAAUAAGCACCGGCUAACUACGUGCCAUCAGCCGCGGUAAUACGUAGGGUGCAAGCGUUAAUCGGAAUUACUGGGCGUAAAUCGUGCGCAGGCGGUUCGGCAAGAAGGAUGUGAAAUCCCAGGGCUUAACCUUGGAACUGCAUUCUUAACUGCCGGGCUAGAGUAUGACAGAGGGGGGUAGAAUUCCGCGUGUAGCAGUGAAAUGCGUAGCGAUGCGGAGGAAUACCGAUGGCGAAGGCAGCCCCCUGGGAUAAUACUGACGCUCAUGCACGAAAGCGUGGGGAGCAAAC
rnacentral:rRNA from 1 species